AUCGGGAAUCUUGCACAAUGGACGAAAGUCUGAUGCAGCGACGCCGCGUGGAGGAUGAAUGCCUUCGGGUUGUAAACUCCUGAAAAUAGCACCGGCUAACUACGUGCCAGCAGCAGCGGUCAUACGUAGAGUGCAAGCGUUGUUCGGAGUUACUGGGCGUAAAGAGUUCUGUAGGCGGUAAUGUAAGUUAAGGGUGAAAUACUUCGGCUUAACCGAAGGAGCGCUUUUAAUACUGCAUUACUUGAGGCAGUUAGGGGAUAGCAGAACCAAUGGAGGAGCGGUGAUAUGCGUUGAUCUCAUUGGGAAUACCGAGGGGGUAGCCAGCUAUCUGGGACUGACCUGACGCUGAGAGACGAAAGCGUGGGGAGCGAAAGGGAUUAGAUACCCCGGUAGUCC
rnacentral:rRNA from 1 species